GCCGGGCAUGGUGGCUCAUGCCUGUAAUCCCAGCAUUUGGGAGGCUGAGGUGGGCGGAUCACCUGAGGUCAGGAGUUUGAGACCCAGCCUGGCCAACAUGGUGAAACUUCGUCUCUA
rnacentral:SRP_RNA from 1 species